UGUUAUAUUUGGACGGACAUUACCGAGCGUACCGUCGUCGCAACUACACGCGGACUACAUAAAAAACGAAUCGUCAAUAAUCCGUAUCGUAAUAUAUUAUUAUCAUAAAUUGUAUUCGCGCGGCUAACCAAAUUCACAUUCAAAAUGUUUAACUUAGGAGGAGCUAUGAAAAAUAUUACAGCAAAGGCCGAAGAAUUAGUAGAUGAAAAGAAGCAUGCUGCAACUUCACUUCUUGAAAAACAAGUCAAAGAAACCGGUGAGUUUUUGUCUCACACACUCAACGAAGCAGAAGGCAAAGCUGUGAACGCCGCAGAAGAGGCGAAAAAGGCAGCUGUGGAUGGUUUUGACCAGGAGGUCGAAAAACUUGCUGAUAGUGCCUUACAGGAGGAAACACCCGCCGCACCAGCGACCGUCCCCGCUGCUGUCACCCCGGAACAGCAGUCAACCGUCAACCAAGUGGCGUCCGAAGCUAAGACACUGGUAGACAAGACGACUGCCGAACUGAAACCGGCCCUGGAUCAAGCGGUGCACGACAAGAUCAACCCGUUGGCGCAGGACCUGGCCAAGAAGCUGCAACCGAUCACAGGCGACGUGUCCGCGCACAUCAACACGGCGCUGGCCGAGGGUGUCAAGCAGCUGAACCCAAUCGUCGACGACGUGUCCGCGAAGGCCAAAGGAUUUGUUGACGAUACUGCCAAACAGGUGAGCACUGUGGUGGACGACAAGCUUAAGGAGGCCGAUCAGUUGAUCAGCGAGAAGCGUGAAGCUCUCGGGGAACCGGCCAAGAGCAUUAUGUCCAAGGCCAAGGGAUUGUUCGGCUGUAAGUUAGGUUGCUGUACUAUCAUGUAGGAAAAAAAUUCUCACACAAAACUCGUGUACGCACAGCCUAUAUACACACUGUCGAUGUAUAUUGCCAGAAUCAAUCAACUACUAAUCACUACGUAUUAUAAUGGGAGUAGCGAGUUGGCUAUAAAACUGCUAUAGUGUACCUAUACUAACUGCUAAACCAUUUUCAUUUUACUCGUUUUUCAUGAUACCUACAUAAUAUUUCACAUCUAUUACUUAUGAUAUAAAGAAGCAUUGCUUUAAGUAGCACAUACACAUAAUAUAAUAAUUAUAAUUUUUUCCUUAACUUUAUGUUUAUUGGAAAUUGUAGUCAUUUUAAAGUGUACUCUUGAUUUUCAAUAUUUAUUUUUUUUAUAUAUACACGUGAUUUAUUUUAUAUCAUUAUUAUUAUUAUAAACAUUUUACUAUUAAUCUAUUUUUGUUUUUAUACAUCAUUAUACAUGUAUAUUUAUGCCUCCAGUUGUUCAUCGUGUAAUCUACAUUCUUAUAACAAUUUAAAUAAUCAAUACCGUAUUUUACAAUUACCUACUGUUCUCGCAGAUAAAUGACGGUAAAAAUGUUCCAUAACAUAAAAAAUAUUGUAAUAAUUCAUUAUAUAAUAUUGUAAUGUAUUCAAUUAACGGUCGAGCACACUGAUAAUAAACGAUAUGAUUAUAAUUUAUAAUCAUAUGGUCAUGAUCAUAAUCGUCCACAAACAUUUUAUUUUUUAUUGUUAUGAUAUUUUUGUUUACUUGAAAUCAUUAUUUGGUAUAAUAUACGAUUAACACGCUUGCUAAUUUUCUAAAUGAAAA